GACGAACGCUGGCGGUAUGCUUAACACAUGCAAGUCGAACGAGAAGCUUUUAAUGAACCUUCGGGUGAUUUAAGAAGCAGACAGUGGCGAACGGGUGAGUAACGCGUGGGCAACCUGCCUUUCGGAGCGGAAUAGCCUCGGGAAACCGGGAGUAAAGCCGCAUAACAUUAUUUUUCGCAUGAAGAAAUAAUCAAAACUCCGGUGCCGAAAGAUGGGCCCGCGUCCUAUUAGCUGGUUGGUGAGGCAACGGCUCACCAAGGCGACGAUAGGUAGCCGGUCUGAGAGGGCGAACGGCCACACUGGAACUGAGACACGGUCCAG
rnacentral:rRNA from 1 species